GUAGACAAGGCUGGACAUGAACUCACAGGGAUCCACCUGCCUCUGCCUGCUGCUGAGUGCUGGGAUUAAAGGUGAUUCCUCAGACCCUGUUCAACUGUCCUGUGGGCCUGGACAAGAAAGCUGCUCAUCAUUGGAGGGUAGGCCUACCUGCUCAUCUUGAGAAGCACCAGAGAGCGACUUCUGUUUGCUGAAGACGACACGGAUUAACUCAUUGUGAGACAGUCCAGGACGAAUAGAAAAUGAAGCAGCGCAGAUCAUAGGAGAAAUAUGGUGGUUCCUCAGACCCUGUUUGACUGUCCCGCAUGUCGGGACACCUGGCAUUGAGGUCAGCUCUGCAAUACUGAGCAGGGUGGAAAGCACCAGGAAGGGCAAAUGGUGCAACAACCUGAGCACCUACUAUGUUCCCUGACACACCAACCCAUAAGUGUCUAACAGGAUUUCUGUGCAAGGCCAUGGUUCCUGCCAUAGCAAGAACUGGCUCUAAGCAUCCUGGUUCUAAGGAUGCUGGUUUCCAACUGACUGCCGAGAAGCCAGUCCAGCUGGGUGAUCCACUCCACACAGGGUUCUUGGAAGAUGAGGAGAAGGUGAAAGGCAGAGAACAGAAGCUGUAAGUUCCACACUGGUCAAGAAGUGCACUCUUCAUUGUUCCUGCUCCAUGCCUUUACUCCACUCUAUUGAUUCUAAUCCUUUUAAACCAUAAGCUCAAUUAUCUCUAAUUUUCCAUUUUAAGGUUAAUCUAGACAGGGUUUCUCUGUGUACAUAUAUGUACAUAACCCUGACUGUCCUUGAACUCACUCUGUUAACCAGGCUGGCUUGUGCUCAGUUCUGGCUGACUCUGUCUCCCAAGAGGUGGGAUUAAAGGUGUGCUCUGCCACCAUUGAGCCAUCUCACCAGUCCCAGGUCCAUAUGAUUUUUUUUAAAGAUUUAUUUUUUAUUAUACAUAAGUACACUGUAGCUGUCUUCAGACACACCAGAAGAGAGCAUUGGAUCUCAUUACAGAUGGUUGUGAGCCACCAUGUGGUUGCUGGGAUUUGAACUCGGGACCUCCGGAAGAACAGUCAUUGCUCUUAACCGCUGAGCCAUCUCUGACUAUUAACAAUUAUUUUCUUUGCUUCUUUUCUUUUUUAAAAAAGAUUUUUAUGUGUGUUGCUGUUCUGCCUAUAUGUAUAUCUGUGUGAAGGGUAACAUAUCCUCUGGAAUGGAUUACAGACAGUUGUUAGCUAUGGUCUUUAUGCCAGAAAUUGAAUCCAGGCACUCUGGAAGAACAGCAAGUGGUCUUCACUACCAAGUCAUCUCCCCAGGCCAUAUGCUCUGGGUUUAAAAAGUGGUUUGGGAGAAAAAAAGAGGUCAAGAAAUCCUUAGAGAACAGUGAGGAGAGGUAUAUGUGAAGGUUUAAAGGAUGAAGGGAGAAAGCAGAAGUGUUUUUUUAAUAAGAUAUUUUCUUUAUUUACAUUUCAAAUGUUAUCUCCUUUCCUAGUUUCUUAUUUAAAAACCUUGUAUACCUUUCCCCAACCACUGCUCUCCAACCCACCCACUCCCAUUUCUGGACCCUGUCAUUCCUCUAUACUGGGUCAUAGAAACUUCACAGGACCAAGCGCCUCUCCUCUCAUUGAGGACCGACUAGCCCAUCCUCUGGUAUAUAUGCAGCUAGAGCCAUGAGUCCUACCAUGUGAUUUCUUGAAUUGAUGUUUAGUCCCAGAAAGCUCUAGGGGUACUGGUUAGUUCAUAUUGUUGUUCCUUCUAUGGGGCUGCAAACCCCUUCAACUCCUUGGGUCCUUUCUCUAGCUCCUUCAUUGGGGACCCUGUGCUAUGCCCAAUUCAUGGCUGUGAGCAUUCACUUCUGUAUUUGUCAGACUGGCAGAGCCUCUUAGCAGACAGCUAUAUAAGGCUCCUGUCAGCAAGCUCUUGUUGGCAUCCACAAUAAUGUCUGGGUUUGGUGGUUGUAUAUGGGAUAGAUCUCCAGGUGGGGCAGCCUCUGUAUGGUCAUUCCUUCAGUCUCUGCUCCCUCUUCUAAGAAGGAUCGAAGUAUCUACACUUUGGCCUUCCUUCUUUUUGAGUUUAUGUGUUUUGCAAAUUGUAUCUUGGGUAUUGAAAAAGGGAAAUUUAUAGUCUCCAAAAAGGCCUUUUUAAAAAAAAAAAUUGGCAUAUGACUUUUGCAGUGAAAAGCUGCCCACAUGGCCUGAUCAUCUGAUUCAAUUGUAUAGCAAUGAAAUGACAGAUGUCACAGCCAAAUGGCUUGUACAUCUAACCAUGGUGUUUGUUUCAGAGAUAGGUUUUCAUGAUGUAGACAUGGUUGGCCUGAAAUUAGCUCUGUAGACCACGCUGCCCUCAGAACUCAGAUCUUCCACCCGCCUGUGCCUCCCCAGUGUCAGGAUGAAAGGUGUGCACCAUCACAUUUGGCCUCUUUACUGCAUAACAACACUGAAAUCACCAGCCUGGGCUUGCAAAUAGGCCUUUAUUAUCUUUGAGGAAGAGGAUACACAACCCAUUCAGUUUUCAAGAGCAGAUGUUCAAGGCAUAUGAAGUCAGAGAGCUGAGGCUGAGCUCAUCUGUAAUCAACUGAAUUAUGCUCACAUCAUCACAUGCUGCUUUAUAAAUGAAGCUGCCAACAGG
ensembl:antisense